UACGUAGGGACCAAGCGUUGUUCGGAUUUACUGGGCGUAAAGGGCGCGUAGGCGGCCUGGCAAGUCACUUGUGAAAUCUCCGGGCUUAACUCGGAACGGCCAAGUGAUACUGUUGAGCUAGAGUGCAGAAGGGGCAAUCGGAAUUCUUGGUGUAGCGGUGAAAUGCGUAGAUAUCAAGAGGAACACCUGAGGUGAAGACGGGUUGCUGGGCUGACACUGACGCUGAGGCGCGAAAGCCAGGGGAGCAAACGGG
rnacentral:rRNA from 1 species